GAUGAACGCUGGCGGCGUGCCUAAUACAUGCAAGUCGAGCGAACGGACGAGAAGCUUGCUUCUCUGAUGUUAGCGGCGGACGGGUGAGUAACACGUGGAUAACCUACCUAUAAGACUGGGAUAACUUCGGGAAACCGGAGCUAAUACCGGAUAAUAUUUUGAACCGCAUGGUUCAAAAGUGAAAGACGGUCUUGCUGUCACUUAUAGAUGGAUCCGCGCUGCAUUAGCUAGUUGGUAAGGUAACGGCUUACCAAGGCAACGAUGCAUAGCCGACCUGAGAGGGUGAUCGGCCACACUGGAACUGAGGCACGGUCCAGACUCCUACGGGAGGCAGCAGUAGGGAAUCUUCCGCAAUGGGCGAAAGCCUGACGGAGCAACGCCGCGUGAGUGAUGAAGGUCUUCGGAUCGUAAAACUCUGUUAUUAGGGAAGAACAUAUGUGUAAGUAACUGUGCACAUCUUGACGGUACCUAAUCAGAAAGCCACGGCUAACUACGUGCCAGCAGCCGCGGUAAUACGUAGGUGGCAAGCGUUAUCCGGAAUUAUUGGGCGUAAAGCGCGCGUAGGCGGUUUUUUAAGUCUGAUGUGAAAGCCCACGGCUCAACCGUGGAGGGUCAUUGGAAACUGGAAAACUUGAGUGCAGAAGAGGAAAGUGGAAUUCCAUGUGUAGCGGUGAAAUGCGCAGAGAUAUGGAGGAACACCAGUGGCGAAGGCGACUUUCUGGUCUGUAACUGACGCUGAUGUGCGAAAGCGUGGGGAUCAAACAGGAUUAGAUACCCUGGUAGUCCACGCCGUAAACGAUGAGUGCUAAGUGUUAGGGGGUUUCCGCCCCUUAGUGCUGCAGCUAACGCAUUAAGCACUCCGCCUGGGGAGUACGACCGCAAGGUUGAAACUCAAAGGAAUUGACGGGGACCCGCACGAGCGGUGGAGCAUGUGGUUUAAUUCGAAGCAACGCGAAGAACCUUACCAAAUCUUGACAUCCUUUGACAACUCUAGAGAUAGAGCCUUCCCCUUCGGGGGACAAAGUGACAGGUGGUGCAUGGUUGUCGUCAGCUCGUGUCGUGAGAUGUUGGGUUAAGUCCCGCAACGAGCGCAACCCUUAAGCUUAGUUGCCAUCAUUAAGUUGGGCACUCUAAGUUGACUGCCGGUGACAAACCGGAGGAAGGUGGGGAUGACGUCAAAUCAUCAUGCCCCUUAUGAUUUGGGCUACACACGUGCUACAAUGGACAAUACAAAGGGCAGCGAAACCGCGAGGUCAAGCAAAUCCCAUAAAGUUGUUCUCAGUUCGGAUUGUAGUCUGCAACUCGACUACAUGAAGCUGGAAUCGCUAGUAAUCGUAGAUCAGCAUGCUACGGUGAAUACGUUCCCGGGUCU
rnacentral:rRNA from 1 species